rnacentral:misc_RNA from 1 species
AAGUCGUAACAAGGUUUCCGUAGGUGAACCUGCGGAAGGAUCAUUAACAAAUCUUUCUAAAUAAACCUGUUGCAUUGGCCGUGAAUGCUGCCUUUGAGGCUUUGGCCUCGCUGGCAGUUGAAGCGGAUGAAGGGCCGUGCAUUGUAAUGAUGCACUGGUCUUUUCACAUAAACACGUCUAUUGUAUAGUCUAACAGUUCGUAAUGGCAAAAUAAGUACAACUAUUAACAGUGGAUCUCUUGGCUCCCA